CUGGGGCAGAAUUCGGUGUGAGCUCCUGCAGAGCACCUCUGCGCACACCGCCUAUCUGUGCAGGCAGCAGUUUCAGUUCUGAUUCCCCACUGACGUGUUUGCACACGAGACCUGAUAGAAGGCCACACUGUAUAGAGUUCUUGGAUUCUUCUUGAAGGAGAUUGUUAAUGUGUCCAGUUUUUUGGAUAAUGUCUGAAAUUCUUCAAUCUAGAAAAAAAGAAGCUUGUUUUAAAGACCGUCUCUCCCCUUGAAGCUGAAUCAUACGACUCUCACCUCAAAUUUUGCCAUGCAUUAGGACCACUGCUCUCUCCUUCAGAGAAGCCCGUUGAGCCUUGAUUUCUGUGAGAGAGGAUA
rnacentral:lncRNA from 1 species